AGUUGGUUAGAGCGGUGGACUGUUAAUCCAUGUGUCGUUGGUUCAACUCCAACCUGG
rnacentral:tRNA from 1 species